AGGAUGAACGCUGGCGGCGUGCCUAACACAUGCAAGUCGAACGUCCUGUCUCGCAAGAGGCAGGGAGUGGCGGACGGGUGAGUACCACGUGGGUCAUCUACCGUGAGGUGAGGAAUACCGGCGAGAAAUCGCCGACAAGACCGCAUAGGCUCGAUGCAAGUCGAGCAAAGCUCUUUCGAGAGAGGGAGCGCCACACGAGGAGCCUGCGCCCGAUUAGCUAGCUGGUGGAGUAACGGUUCACCAGGGCGACGAUCGGUAGCUGGUCUGAGAGGACGAUCAGCCACACUGGGAUUGAGAACGGCCCAGACUCCUACGGGGGGCAGCAGUGAGGAAUUUUCGUCAAUGGGGGCAACCCUGAACGAGCAACGCCGCGUGCAGGAAGAAGGUUUUCGGAUCGUAAACUGCUUUUCUCGGGGAAGAGAACGGACGGUACCCGAGGAAUCAGCCCGGCUAACUACGUGCCAGCAGCCGCGGU
rnacentral:rRNA from 1 species